GGGGCUAUAGCUGAGAGGGAGAGCGCUUGCAUGGCAUGCAAGAGGUCAGCGGUUCGAUCCCGCUUAGCUCCACCA
rnacentral:tRNA from 1 species